GAUGAAGAACGCAGCGAAAUGCGAUAAGUAAUGUGAAUUGCAGAAUUCCGUGAAUCAUCGAAUCUUUGAACGCACAUUGCGCCCCCUGGCAUUCCGGGGGGCAUGCCUGUCCGAGCGUCAUUUCUGCCCUCCAGCCCGGCUGGGUGUUGGGCGCUGUCCCCCCGGGGACACGCCCCAAAGGCAGUGGCGGCGCCGCGUCGGGUCCUCGAGCGUAUGGGGCUUUGUCACCCGCUCGGGACGGACUCGUCGGCGCUGGUCUUCCUCCAGGCGACGCUUCGGGGCUCGUCUUCCUUCGGUUGACCUCGGAUCAGGUAGGGUUACCCGCUGAACUUAAGCAUAUCAAUAAGCGGAGGA
rnacentral:misc_RNA from 1 species